AACGAACGCUGGCGGCGUGCCUAACACAUGCAAGUCGAACGAGAAAGUAUCUUCGGAUAUGAGUAAAGUGGCGCACGGGUCCGUAACACGUGGAUAAUCUACCUUUAGGAGAAAAAUAACUCCUCGAAAGAGGAGCUAAUAUUUCAUAAGACCACAGAUUCUUCGGAAUCCGAGGUAAAAGAUGGCCUCUAUUUAUAAGCUAGUACCUAGAGAUGAGUCCGCGCACCAUUAGCUAGUUGGUGGGGUAAUGGCCUACCAAGGCAGAGAUGGUUAGCUGAUCUGAGAGGAUGAUCAGCGACACUGGAACUGAAACACGGUCCAGACUCCUACGGGAGGCAGCAGUGGGGAAUAUUGGACAAUGGACGAAAGUCUGAUCCAGCAACGCCGCGUGAGCGAUGAAGGCCUUCGGGUCGUAAAGCUCUGUCAGAUGGAACGAAAAAGAUUCAUUUAAUAAAUGAGUAAAUUGACGGUACUAUCAAAGGAAGCACCGGCUAACUCUGUGCCAGCAGCCGCGGUAAUACAGAGGGUGCUAGCGUUGUUCGGAAUUACUGGGCGUAAAGAGCGCGUAGGUGGUUUUGUGUGUCUGGUGUGAAAGCCCUUGGCUCAACCAAGGAAGUGCGCCGGAAACUGCAAGACUAGAGAUCAAGAGAGGUUAGCAGAAUUCUCAGUGUAGAGGUGAAAUUCGUAGAUACUGGGAGGAACACCGGAAGCGAAGGCGGCUAACUGGAUUGAUACUGACACUAAAGUGCGAAAGCGUGGGUAGCAAACAGGAUUAGAUACCCUGGUAGUCCACGCCGUAAACGAUGACAACUAGGUUUUGGGGGUAUUGACCCCCUCGGAACCGAAGCUAACGCAUUAAGUUGUCCGCCUGGGGAGUACGGUCGCAAGAUUAAAACUCAAAGGAAUUGACGGGGGCCCGCACAAGCGGUGGAGUAUGUGGUUUAAUUCGACGCAACGCGAAGAACCUUACCUAGGUUAGAAAUCAACUAGACGGUUUCCAGAGAUGGAUUCCUUCCCUCACGGGACUGGUUGACAGGUGCUGCAUGGCUGUCGUCAGCUCGUGUCGUGAGAUGUUGGGUUAAGUCCCGCAACGAGCGCAACCCUUAUCCCCUGUUGCCAGCAUUAAGUUGGGCACUCUGGGGAGACUGCCGGCGUAAAACCGGAGGAAGGUGGGGAUGACGUCAAGUCCUCAUGGCCCUUGAAGCCUAGGGCUACACACGUACUACAAUGGUCGAUACAAAGCGUAGCCAACCCGCGAGGGGGAGCCAAUCGCAAAAAGUCGGCCUCAGUUCGGAUUGAAGGCUGCAACUCGCCUUCAUGAAGCUGGAAUCGCUAGUAAUCGCAGAUCAGCAAGCUGCGGUGAAUACGUUCCCGGGCCUUGUACACACCGCCCGUCAAGCCACGAAAGUCUGUCAAACCAGAAGUCAUUGGGUUUUCCAAUGCCGAAGGUUGGGCCGGUAAUUGGGGUU
rnacentral:rRNA from 1 species